rnacentral:lncRNA from 1 species
AGUCUACUAUUGUUUACCAUGGCCUCAGGGUAAUAUGCCUCCUAUUUGCAUCUCUGUGGGCCUAAGCAUCUGAAUAGGCCUGCACAUGGGCUGAGAUACAAGGUGCAAGGUGUGAAUUGUGUGAAUGACUAGGGAGGGUAGAGGUGAGGAGCUGAGCAAGCAACCAGAGAGGAGAGAAGGGAGAGGAGAAAAAAAGAUAUAGAUGGUUCCCUCGUGGUAUUGGCAGGAUGAUUAAGAAACACCAGAAAAGAUGGCUAAUAAAGAAAUGACUCUAGUUCUACAGCAUGGAACAGAGAGCUCUCUAAAGAUGACAAGAUGCUUGUGUUUGAUCUUUAUCGCCACUGGGUUGCUAGGAGUUUCCAGGUCCACACACCCCCACUCAGGCAGAACCUCAUGGAUUAAUGCUGAGACAUGGUGGGCCACGACAAAAUGGCACCACCACCUCAGGGUCUGAGAACGGGGGAAGAAGCCAUGGACACCACGAAGAAAUGGACAAGGCAGAGGCUUGGACACUUGGAAGAGAUAGUCGUCGUGGGCGAACCGGUUGGAGAAGAAGCAUGAGCAGAAAAAAGAAAAAAGAAGUGGCCGAAUGUGGUGGAGAACGACGUGUGCUGGCUUCUGGAUCGGUUGAUGAGAUGCAUGGAGCAGAGAGGAAUUGGACCUGGGCCCACAGGAGACUGUCGGAACCAGCUGGAGUGAAACACUGAACCUGUAUUCCUGAACUUUGAGGGCAUCUGACCUACAGCUGGAGGCAGAAAGGAGACCCACCCAGUUCCAGUUUUGAGAUGCUUUCCAGAGUUCCAGCUUCCCUACAGACGGACUACAUUCACCUCUCUGAAUCCAUGACUGCUCACCCAGGAGCAGACUUAAGAACUCGACAAAAAAUAGCUUGCUUUCUUGCCACAAACAAACACACAAAAUUGUUUUGCCAGUUUUCCCGUUGGGAAAAAGGACCCAUUUAGGGCAGUCGGAUACUGGCAUAAACCAGAGUGGCAGAAGCUCCUUCACAAUGCUUAAACAAGACAUGGACAAAAGACUUUUUAGUUAACUUUCAAAGACUGAUAUUACAAACCUGAUGUUAGUGUAAGACCCUCAGAAAGCUGAGGCUUCCAGAAUCUUAGCCCAGGACGGCGGCCACCCCAAACACAGAAUGGAGGCGAAAGCUUGAUGCAAACUGCAUGAGGCUUUAUUGUAGUUUAACGAGCUAACCCCAUGUUAGCUCGGGUCUUUCACCC